AAACCAACAGGGAUUGCCUUAGUAACUGCGAGUGAAGCGGCAAAAGCUCAAAUUUGAAAUCUGGCGUCUUUGGGCGUCCGAGUUGUAAUUUGAAGAAGGUAACUUUGGGAUUGGCCCUUGCAUAUGUUCCUUGGAACAGGACGUCAUAGAGGGUGAGAAUCCCGUAUAUGGUGAGGUGUCCAUUCCCUUGUAAAGUGCCUUCGAAGAGUCGAGUUGUUUGGGAAUGCAGCUCUAAGUGGGUGGUAAAUUCCAUCUAAAGCUAAAUAUUGGCGAGAGACCGAUAGCGAACAAGUACAGUGAUGGAAAGAUGAAAAGAACUUUGAAAAGAGAGUGAAAAAGUACGUGAAAUUGUUGAAAGGGAAGGGCUUGAAAUCAGACUUGGUAUUCAGUGAUCAACUGCCUCUCGGGGUUGUGCACUCGCUGUUUACUGGGCCAGCAUCGGUUUGAACGGUGAGAUAAUAACUUUGGAACGUGGCUCGUCUUCGGGUGAGUGUUAUAGCCUUUGUUGAUAUCACCAGUUUGGACCGAGGACCGCGCGAAAGCUAGGAUGCUGGCGUAAUGAUUUUAAGCCAC
rnacentral:rRNA from 1 species